rnacentral:rRNA from 1 species
GUGAGGAAUAUUGGACAAUGGGCGAAAGCCUGAUCCAGCCAUGCCGCGUGUGUGAAGAAGGUCUUCGGAUUGUAAAGCACUUUAAGUUGGGAGGAAGGGCAGUAAGUUAAUACCUUGCUGUUUUGACGUUACCGACAGAAUAAGCACCGGCUAACUUCGUGCCAGCAGCCGCGGUAAUACGAAGGGUGCAAGCGUUAAUCGGAAUUACUGGGCGUAAAGCGCGCGUAGGUGGUUUUGUAAGUUGGAGGUGAAAUCCCCGGGCUCAACCUGGGAACUGCCUCCAAAACUGCAUGACUAGAGUACGGUAGAGGGUAGUGGAAUUUCCUGUGUAGCGGUGAAAUGCGUAGAUAUAGGAAGGAACACCAGUGGCGAAGGCGACUACCUGGACUGAUACUGACACUGAGGUGCGAAAGCGUGGGGAGCAAACAGGAUUAGAAACCCGUGUAGUCC